rnacentral:rRNA from 1 species
UAGAGUUUGAUCAUGGCUCAGGAUGAACGCUAGCGGCAGGCUUAACACAUGCAAGUCGAGGGGUAUAGUAGCAAUACUAGAGACCGGCGCACGGGUGCGUAACGCGUAUGCAAUCUACCUUUUGCAGAGGGAUAGCCCAGAGAAAUUUGGAUUAAUACCUCAUAGUAUAGUACAAUCGCAUGAUUGAACUAUUAAAGUCACAACGGCAAAAGAUGAGCAUGCGUCCCAUUAGUUAGUUGGUAAGGUAACGGCUUACCAAGACUACGAUGGGUAGGGGUCCUGAGAGGGAGAUCCCCCACACUGGUACUGAGACACGGACCAGACUCCUACGGGAGGCAGCAGUGAGGAAUAUUGGACAAUGGGCGCAAGCCUGAUCCAGCCAUGCCGCGUGCAGGAUGACGGUCCUAUGGAUUGUAAACUGCUUUUGCACAGGAAGAAACAACUCUACGUGUAGAGUCUUGACGGUACUGUGAGAAUAAGGAUCGGCUAACUCCGUGCCAGCAGCCGCGGUAAUACGGAGGAUCCAAGCGUUAUCCGGAAUCAUUGGGUUUAAAGGGUCCGUAGGCGGUCUUAUAAGUCAGUGGUGAAAUCUCCCCGCUCAACGGGGAAACGGCCAUUGAUACUGUAAGACUUGAAUUAUUAGGAAGUAACUAGAAUAUGUAGUGUAGCGGUGAAAUGCUUA